UUCCGUAAUGUCUUGAAUUGAUGGGGUAGGAGCUUCAUUAUGACUUGAUCACCUUCCUUGUACUCAACAUGUCGUCUCCUUGUAUCCGCCCAUUUCUUCAUUUUUCUUGUGGCUUUGUCGAGGUUGACUCGCGUGAUGUCUGAUUCCCCAUGUUUGGGUGGCGCCAUGCGGUAGGGCGCCAGGGCUGGUGGCUUCGCACCUUGUUCAGCUCGAUCGAAUGAUCUACCUCUCGCCGCGGUGGGAGCUUUUUCGGAAGUUCUGGCGGCAUCACAUCCUAGCACUCAUUAAGGAUGGCUUGAAUUCGUGGAGGGACUUGGCUUGGCGACAUUCCGCUAUUUCCUUCCUCGUUCAGUUCCCGAAUGGAGACCAAGAAGCUUGGGUCCUUCUUGAUGUACUCAUUAAGGAUGGCUUGAAUUCGUGGAGGGACUUGGCUUGGCGACAUUCCGCUAUUUCCUUCCUCGUUCAGUUCCCGAAUGGAGACCAAGAAGCUUGGGUCCUUUCUUGAAAGCCUUCUUGAAUUGCAUGGCGGAGAGUGUCUUCUCCUCGGACUUGCAUCUCUCCACGGGUACCAUGCAUGCCUUGCUCCCGUCAAGUAUGCUUUGGGAGUUUGUAGCGGGCAGCGGGAAGGCAUAGGCUUGGUCGAAGAAUUCCAUGCCAAGGACCAUCUUGAAGUCAUCCAUGGGCACAAUAGAGAAGUGGAGCUUUCCACUCCACGUUCCGAGUGUUAACUGCACGCCUUGUGCAGU
rnacentral:lncRNA from 1 species